GACGUAGGGCGCGAGCGUUGUCCGGAUUUAUUGGGCGUAAAGAGCUCGUAGGCGGCUUGUCGCGUCGACUGUGAAAUCCCGCGGCUCAACUGCGGGUCUGCAGUCGAUACGGGCAGGCUAGAGUUCGGUAGGGGAGACUGGAAUUCCUGGUGUAGCGGUGAAAUGUGCAGAUAUCAGGAGGAACACCGGUGGCGAAAGGGCGGCCCCACUGGGAUCGGUACUGACGCUGGAGGUGCGAAAAGCGUGGGGAGCAAACAGG
rnacentral:rRNA from 1 species